UACAACACCACAAAUAGGGAACUAUGAACUUGUGUGUGCAUGUGUGUUUGUGAAUUCGUGUGUAUGUGUGUGAAUGAGCUUGGGCCUUAUGUGUUUGUGGUGAUUUCAGAGCAUAUGUAGUCACAGACUUUCUCUUGGUGCUUGAGUUUUGGCAAGCUUGUUAUUGUUGUGCUUGGCUGCGAAGCCGAGAGAGAGAGAGACCUUGCGGGUUAUAUCUGUAUUUGUUCCAGGCAGCAGAGAUAGAGAGAGAGAGCACACACUGCUCAUGUGAUUGUGGAUUGCACAUGGGAAUUUGUGGCAGGCACUUGGCAUCGGACAAACACAUCUUGCAUUGUUUAACACAGCUAUGGAGUGUGUUGUGGAAUGCCUCGUGGAACCAUUCUUACAAUGAGGCAGAGUCAUGGUUCAGAAUUCACACCUUUGCAGAAACGAUGCCCUGAUUGUUGACGACGGGAAUUGUUGUUGAUUUGUCCAAGUUCUGGAGGUUGUGUAAACCAAGGAGUUGGGAUCUUUUCUAUGCAUAACGGCGUCAUACCUUAGUCGAGCGAUAGCUGGGAGGAGUAGCAUGCUGAUCCUGAUUGCUUACCUCCCACUGUUGACGUGAUUCUCAAAUUAUGAUAUGAGCUCUCACUAUGGUACCAUGGCGAAUGUGUGGAGGAUAUUGCACUUUUGGGGAGAUCAAGGUUGUGGGAGAUUAAUGUGCAGAUUUCUUCGAGGCAGACGUUGCAGAUAGUCGCUUCUGCUUGCUUACCUGUGUAUGAUUGAGGCAGAAUAGUGAAGGCAUCAACUAUUAGCAAGAGAUUUAGGGUUUGCAAUGGCUGCAGAGUUGCCACCAGAGAUCAUGGCUUUUGAAGCUGAAGUUCAACAAAUUUUCAAGGAUCUCAAUGAGGGCUUCCAAAGGCUGGACAAAAUCAAAGAUCUCGAGAAACAACGAAAGCAAUUGGAAGAGCUGACGGGCAAGAUGCGGGGUGUAAAACGGAUCCUUAAAGAUUUUGAUCAGGGGAUCAAAGAUGACCCAACCAAUCUGGAGCUUAACAAGACUGUUGCUGAAAAGAAAAAGUCACUGAUCAGGGAGUUGAAUACGUAUAUUGCAUUGAGAAAAACAUUUUCUAGCACGAUCUCAUCCAAAGCUGAGUUAUUUGAAGGUGGAUCACAAGCUGGGACAGCGACCAACCAAGCGUAUCGAGUGGCAUCAACAAUGUCUAAUCAAGAGCUUUUACAAGUUGGGAGAAAGCAAAUGGAUGAAAUGGACAAAAGUAUCGAACGCUCCAAGAGAGUUGUAGAAGACACGUUGCAUAUUGGCACAGAAACUGCUGUCACUCUUAAAGCCCAGACCGAGCAAUUGGGGAGGAUUGUAAAUGAACUGGACACCAUUCAGUUCUCCAUAAAGAAGGCCGCUCAACUUGUGCGAGAGGUUGGGAAACAGAUGGCAACAGAUAAGUGUAUCAUGGGGUUUUUAUUUUUGAUCGUAGGCGGUGUUGUUGCAGUCAUAGUUGUGAAAAUUGUUCAAGGUCAGAAGAAAAAAAAUUCUAGCCCUGCAACUACCCCUGUAGGUGCUCGACGUAUGUUGUCAUUGUUACUGGACAUGGGCCAAUGACCACAGUUUGAUGACAACAGCCACUUUUCAAACUCUGCUUGAAGGAAUACCCACGGAAAGCUUUGUUUUAUCUUCUUCCACAUUCGUUUCUAUCUAGGAGCAUGCCCUUCUAGUGUGGGACAUAGAGAACUUUGUCCUACAUUGUGUAAAGGACACAAAUGAAUAUGAAAAGAGAGUGUAAAUGUGAAUGGAGCGACACAAGAGGGGCAGCAUUGCAUUUCCACCUCAAUAAUCGCUUUUUACUAUCUCAAAUUUAUUGUUUUAUAACUAUGAGUUUAAGAAUGUUCUCUUAUUCUGUCAAUAUAGGACACAAUUUUUGACAAUUUCAUGACAAAUGUUCAUUAAAAAAAUUGUGCUUCAUUAGAAUUGAGCCUGCAUAUGAGUCUAUAGUUUCAGUCCUGUUCAAAGAAACUGUAUCUUCACCAAAACAUGAAAAAAUUUAAUGUAAAAAACAAGAAUUUAAGAUA